rnacentral:misc_RNA from 1 species
GAAAUGCGAUAAGUAGUGUGAAUUGCAGAAUUCAGUGAAUCAUCGAAUCUUUGAACGCACAUUGCGCCCCUUGGUAUUCCAUGGGGCAUGCCUGUUCGAGCGUCAUUUGUAUCCUCAAGCUCUGCUUGGUGUUGGGUGUUUGUCCCGUCUCCGCGCGUGGACUCGCCCCAAAGUGAUUGGCAGCCGGCGUACUGGUCCCGGAGCGCAGCACAUGUCGCGCAAACGAGUGCCUUGGUACGGCGGCGUCCAUAAGCCCCUCUCUCACGCUCUUGACCUCGGAUCAGGUAGGGAUACCCGCUGAACUUAAGC